CAUGCAGUCGAGCGGUAACAGGUCUAGCUUGCUAGACGCUGACGAGCGGCGGACGGGUGAGUAAUGCAUAGGAAUCUGCCCGAUAGUGGGGGAUAACCUGGGGAAACCCAGGCUAAUACCGCAUACGUCCUACGGGAGAAAGGGGGCUCCGGCUCCCGCUAUCGGAUGAGCCUAUGUCGGAUUAGCUAGUUGGUGAGGUAAAGGCUCACCAAGGCGACGAUCCGUAGCUGGUCUGAGAGGAUGAUCAGCCACAUCGGGACUGAGACACGGCCCGAACUCCUACGGGAGGCAGCAGUGGGGAAUAUUGGACAAUGGGGGCAACCCUGAUCCAGCCAUGCCGCGUGUGUGAAGAAGGCCUUAGGGUUGUAAAGCACUUUCAGCGAGGAAGAACGCCUGGCGGUUAAUACCCGCCAGGAAAGACAUCACUCGCAGAAGAAGCACCGGCUAACUCCGUGCCAGCAGCCGCGGUAAUACGGAGGGUGCAAGCGUUAAUCGGAAUUACUGGGCGUAAAGCGCGCGUAGGUGGCUUGAUAAGCCGGUUGUGAAAGCCCCGGGCUCAACCUGGGAACGGCAUCCGGAACUGUCAGGCUAGAGUGCAGGAGAGGAAGGUAGAAUUCCCGGUGUAGCGGUGAAAUGCGUAGAGAUCGGGAGGAAUACCAGUGGCGAAGGCGGCCUUCUGGACUGACACUGACACUGAGGUGCGAAAGCGUGGGUAGCAAACAGGAUUAGAUACCCUGGUAGUC
rnacentral:rRNA from 1 species